rnacentral:lncRNA from 1 species
UGAGCUUCAGGUUCUUGACAAGCAUGCGUCUUUAUUCAAAGUGUAGUGGCUGAGAAUCAGGAAAGAAAGGCACAUCCUGUCGAAGGAGCUAUGUAUGGGUUGUCUGAACUGUCUUCUCAGUUCCCACAACUCAAUCCUUUUGAGCUGAAAUGGAUGGUGAGCCAAGGGUGAAAUACUUGAAGAAGACACCUUUUCAGUUGUAUGUUCUUGAAGAAACUUUUGCUGUGAAUAAAUAUCUAUCGGACCAGGAUCGAGCAUACUUUGGAUGAGUGAUGACCAUGAUUCAAUUCUGAGCUUCAGGUUCUUGACAAGCAGGUCGUCUUUAUUCAAAUUGUAGUCGCUGAGAAUCAGGAAAGAAAAGCACAUCCUGUUGAAGGAGCUAUGCAUGGGUUGUCCGAACUGUAUUCGCAACAUGCUGCACUACAGACAAAUGUUAUUCGAUUGCAAGGGAUGAUUGAGGCGGUCAACAAUGAGAAUCAACUUUUAGAAAUGGAUCUUGGUUUUUUGGAGCAAAAUAUCGCCGAUCAAAAUGGCCACAAUUAACAACUUACAGCAGCAAGCUGCCUCUGAGGGCUCGGCAGUUUAAGGAAAAUGGUAUAUUAUUUGCCUCUGAAUUAGGGUUCAUGUGGGUUUUAGGGUUUCAUACUUUCAUUAAUGUAAUGCUUAGCUGGGUAUCUUGGGUAGAAUUUUAAAACUUGAUCUGCAAAGUCAUUGAACAGAGUUUUUGUGC